CCGGCUGAGCCCGGCCCGGCCGCUGCCUCCUCCAGUGCCCCUGUACCCCUUCUCGUGAAACUCCGCAUCCAGCUCCCCCUCCUCGGGGCAGCAGAACUGAGUGUACGUGCUGGCAGCCUCGGUCCAACUUUACCUUAUGCCUGCCUUGUAAUGUCUACGAGUCUCAGGGAAACUGAAUGGGUUCUGUAAUACCUUUAAGACCUGGACCUGGAAGCUCAUCAAGCAAAUAAAGCUGUGCUAUGUUGAUAAA